GUGAAAUUGUUGAAAGGGAAGCGCUUGCAACCAGACCUGCCUGCAGUUGCUCAUCCGGGCUUUUGCCCGGUGCACUCUUCUGCUGUCAGGCCAGCAUCAGUUCGGGCGGUCGGAUAAAGGCUUCGGGAAUGUAGCUCCUCUCGAGGAGUGUUAUAGCCCGUUGCGAAAUGCGGCCAGCCUGAACUGAGGUCCGCGCUUCGGCUAGGAUGCUGGCGUAAUGGUUGUAAGCGGCCCGUCUUGAAACACGGACCAAGGAGUCUAACAUCUGUGCGAGUGUUUGGGUGUCAAACCCGUACGCGUAAUGAAAGUGAACGGAGGCGGGAACCCCUCGGGGUGCACCGUCGACCGAUCCUGAUGUCUUCGGAUGGAUUUGAGUAAGAGCAUAGCUGUUGGGACCCGAAAGAUGGUGAACUAUGCCUGAAUAGGGUGAAGCCAGAGGAAACUCUGGUGGAGGCUCGCAGCGGUUCUGACGUGCAAAUCGAUCGUCAAAUUUGGGCAUAGGGGCGAAAGACUAAUCGAACUAUCUAGUAGCUGGUUCCUGCCGAAGUUUCCCUCAGGAUAGCAGUAACGUUUUCAGUUUUAUGAGGUAAAGCGAAUGAUUAGAGGCCUGGGGGUUGAAACAACCUUCACCUAUUCUCAAACUUUAAAUAUGUAAGAAGUCCUUGUUGCUUAGUUGAACGUGGACAUUUGAAUGUAUCGUUACUAGUGGGCCAUUUUUGGUAAGCAGAACUGGCGAUGCGGGAUGAACCGAACGCGGAGUUAAGGUGCCGGAAUGCACGCUCAUCAGACACCACAAAAGGUGUUGGUUCA
rnacentral:rRNA from 1 species